CGACAAACCACACAACACGCAAAGAAGCAUCCUCUUCACAUUACAACCAAAUCUGAUAUUCGAAACCAAACCCGGAUGCGCUCGUUCACAGAACUCUCAGAACUAUCGCCGUGAAACCCAAAGUGGGGACGUCCACGCUCUUAUUUGCCAGGUUUCACCGUGGCGAGAGAGACAGAAAAGACGAGACGGCUGGAAGGGAACUCUCCUUGUGCAACCUUAAGGCUGCAGCCUUAAUGCCUUGAGUCACCACACGGCCGCUUGGUUCCGGUUAGUGUCCUCACUGUGGCAGGGAUGUUAGCCAGACGAAGGGGCUUUGCUGGUGACUCACCUGAUUCAAGGCCAUCUGCCCGGGGGAGGAGGGGGGGAGACCACAAAAAGACCACAACACACAACACCCGCAGAUGAAUAGAUAUAUCACCUCGCAGAUCCAGUUACGACGAGUCAACAAUGGACACAAAAGGCUCAAUGUACACGCCGGAUCAAAAAGAGCCUUCAGAUAAUGGGUCCAGAACGCUGCAGGUCUGCCCAGAACCUCUGUGGGCGAGGACAAUGCCGGCAUGGAUCUGGAUACGGUGACGUCUCCUAUUGCUCCCCGUCCCCACUCCCAAGAAGAAAAAUCCCCAUUUGAGACAAAGACGUUUGUCAAGGUCCCGUCACAGGAAAAGGGGGAUUUGAAGAUUUUCAAAAGCAGAGGCUGACAGUUCAGAUGUGGUGGAGCCUUUGCCUGGUGACACAUGGAGAUAAUAACCGUGGCAGUGACUCAAGAGUCAAAUACCAACAUUUUUCACAAAGCCAUGGUGGAAGAAGUCAUACAUUGUCACUUUAAUCACCUUCUAAACCUCGGGUAUGUCGUUUUUUUGUGGAGAAGAAAAGUCUCCACUGCUGUGGAAGACGACCGGCAAGC
ensembl:lncRNA